AACAAUGUGGCUUAGUGGAUAGAGCAUGAGACUGGGAAUCAAAAAGACCUGGGUUCUAAUCCCUGCUCCGCUA
rnacentral:tRNA from 1 species